GCAGCCGCGGUAAUACGGAGGAUGCGAGCGUUAUCCGGAUUUAUUGGGUUUAAAGGGAGCGUAGGUGGUUUUAUAAGCCAGCUGUGAAAUACUGCCGCUCAACGGCAGCCGUGCAGUUGGAACUGUAAGACUUGAGUGUACGGGAGGAAAGUGGAAUUCGUGGUGUAGCGGUGAAAUGUUUAGAUAUCACGAAGAACUCCAAUUGCGUAGGCAGCUUUCUACAGUACAACUGACACUGAUGCUCGAAAGUGCGGGUAUCGAACAGGAUUAGAUACCCC
rnacentral:rRNA from 1 species